ACGUAUUAAAAAAAAACUACUUACUAGAUCUCGUUCAAACCAAUUUUCGGUGGAAGUUUACAUAGUAAUGUACAUCAUAUAUUUUUUUUAGUUUUAUCAUUCUGUUAUUUUAGAAGUUACAGGGGGGGGGGGACACACAUUUUACCACUUUGGAAGUGUCUCUCGCGCAAACUAUUCAGUUUAGAAAAAAAUGAUAUUAGAAACCUCAAUAUCAUUUUUGAAGACCUAUCCAUAGAUACCCCACACGUAUGGGUUUGAUGAAAAAAAAAUUUUUGAGCGAUUAAUGACGUAUUAAAAAAAAACUACUUACUAGAUCUCGUUCAAACCAAUUUUCGGUGGAAGUUUACAUGGUAAUGUACAUCAUAUAUUUUUUUUAGUUUUAUCAUUCUCUUAUUUUAGAAGUUACAGGGGGGGGGGGACACACAUUUUACCACUUUGGAAGUGUCUCUCGCGCAAACUAUUCAGUUUAGAAAAAAAUGAUAUUAGAAACCUCAAUAUCAUUUUUGAAGACCUAUCCAUAGAUACCCCACACGUAUGGGUUUGAUGAAAAAAAAAUAUUUUGAGCGAUUUAUGACGUAUUAAAAAAAAACUACUUACUAGAUCUCGUUCAAACCAAUUUUCGGUGGAAGUUUACA